GAUGAACGCUGGCGGCGUGCCUAAUACAUGCAAGUCGAGCGAACGGACGAGAAGCUUGCUUCUCUGAUGUUAGCGGCGGACGGGUGAGUAACACGUGGAUAACCUACCUAUAAGACUGGGAUAACUUCGGGAAACCGGAGCUAAUACCGGAUAAUAUAUUGAACCGCAUGGUUCAAAAGUGAAAGACGGUCUUGCUGUCACUUAUAGAUGGAUCCGCGCCGCAUUAGCUAGUUGGUAAGGUAACGGCUUACCAAGGCAACGAUGCAUAGCCGACCUGAGAGGGUGAUCGGCCACACUGGAACUGAGACACGGUCCAGACUCCUACGGGAGGCAGCAGUAGGGAAUCUUCCGCAAUGGGCGAAAGCCUGACGGAGCAACGCCGCGUGAGUGAUGAAGGUCUUCGGAUCGUAAAACUCUGUUAUUAGGGAAGAACAUAUGUGUAAGUAACUGUGCACAUCUUGACGGUACCUAAUCAGAAAGCCACGGCUAACUACGUG
rnacentral:rRNA from 1 species